GAUGAACGCUGGCGGCGUGCCUAAUACAUGCAAGUCGAGCGAACGGACGAGAAGCUUGCUUCUCUGAUGUUAGCGGCGGACGGGUGAGUAACACGUGGAUAACCUACCUAUAAGACUGGGAUAACUUCGGGAAACCGGAGCUAAUACCGGAUGAUAUUUUGAACCGCAUGGUUCAAAAGUGAAAGACGGUCUUGCUGUCACUUAUAGAUGGAUCCGCGCUGCAUUAGCUAGUUGGUAAGGUAACGGCUUACCAAGGCAACGAUGCAUAGCCGACCUGAGAGGAGGAUCGGCCACACUGGAACUGAGACACGGUCCAGACACCUACGGGAGGCAGCAGUAGGGAAUCUUCCGCAAUGGGCGAAAGCCUGACGGAGCAACGCCGCGUGAGUGAUGAAGGUCUUCGGAUCGUAAAACUCUGUUAUUAGGGAAGAAAAGAUGUGUAAGUAACUGUGCACAUCUUGACGGUACCUAAUCAGAAAGCCACGGCUAACUACGUG
rnacentral:rRNA from 1 species